AGAGUACGCGCCGUUAUAGGUUGCUGGCGUGAUGUCAGCAAUAAUAGGGAAGUCAGUGCAACUCUGACGCUGCCCCCGCAACGGUAAAAAAGUCAAACUUUGCCAACAAGCCACUGUGGUUCACCAUGGGAAGGCGGCAAAGCCUGCAUUUGCAACUUUUGAGUCCGGAGACCUGCCUGUAACUGGGGGUUCUG
rnacentral:ncRNA from 2 species